AUGUUCCACGCCGCGCGGCCGCCGAAGCCGACGGCCGUGUACGCGGAGCGCUGCUUUCCACAGUUCUGCGGCGGAAGAGUGGCCGCGCUUCCUCGACCUUCGCCGCAUCCACUUCCUCCUCCUCCUCCUCUCGCCGCGGGCGGUUCCGUCGUGCGGGUGCGCGGCGAGGCGGAGGUGGCCCGUGGGCGACGCGAAGGGGGCGGUGACGGAGCGGAGCGCGAGGAGGUGGCGGUGGCGGUUGCGGUUGCGGCGGGAGGGGAUGAUGUCGCGGUAUUCGGCGGUUUUGUCGGGGACAGCGCGGCGGGGGUUUCUGGCCUGGUGGCUCUGGAGGAGAGGGGAUGCGGAGGCGGUGAACUACAGAGGAAAAGGGGUUCGGAGUUCCCCGCGCGUCCGCCGCCCAAGCGGAGGGCCGUGUCCGCCGUGCGACACUUUCCACCUGGCUGCGGGAGGGACGCGCCGCCUCUGAUCGUGGGCGGCGACGACGACGGUUUGCGGGUUGGAACUGCACCUUCCCGUGGUGCUCGUCCCGCGGGCAGCAGUGCCAGAGAGGAGGGUGGCUUGCCGCUGCAAACUGCGCCUGCCAAUGCUGAUGUGCCUGUGCCGGAGAAGGUGACGGCUUCUGAUAGUUGCGCUCCAGUGUCAGAUGGGGAUCAUCGUGGUCCAGAGGCCGCGGAGGUGAAAUCUUCGGAUGGCACAGAAAUAGGUGCUGAUUUGGUGGUGAAAGACAGGGGAAGGACACGGCCAAUCUCGCGAUUGCUAGCGAAGCGGAGGAUGAUAUCUGCCAACCGCCGCUUCCCUCCAGGCUGCGGGAGGGACGUGGUGGUGCUUCCACUUGCUAGCAGAGGAGGUGAUGAGGUCGGUUUGCAGUUUGAUGCCCUGCCUCCUGGUGGUGGUUUGGGUGCAAUGGAGGACGGCCGGUGUUCCAAUGUGUGUGCCACUGCCAUGGGCACUACAGAAGCGGUCAGCGAGAAUGCUUUGGAUGCAACACUAAAUGUACAGGAACUGGAGGAGGGUGAGAUUCCUCCGGAGCCUGAUCAUGUCCUCCAAGAGCUUCCAGUUACUCACAGCAAUAUCAUGAUUGAGCUUACGGCUGAUGGACUUGAUGAAAAGAUCUCAGUGAACAUGCUGCAACGCAAGGGGGAGAGUGUAUCAUGGGAAGUUGCUGAAGAUCUCAAGGUGAUGAACAAAUGCGAAGGCAGUUCACCCAAGGCUGCCAGUAAACCUUUUGCUGAAGAUCUUGGGGAUACUACAGAAGCAGUCGGCAAGAAUGCUUCGGAUGUAAUAGUAGAGGUACAGGAAUUGGAGGAAGGUGAGAUUCGUACGGAGCCUGGCCAUGUCCUCCAAGAGAACCCGGUUACUCACAACAAUAGCCUACAUGAGCUUACAGCUGGUACCCUUGAGUGUGUUGUGCCGUCAAUGGUUCAUGCGGAACCUUCUGUGAGGCAUUUUUCUACUGAGAAGAUCCCUGUGAACAUGCUGGAGCACAAGGGGGAGAGUGUAUCAUGGGAAGUUGCUGAAGAUCUCAAGGUGAUGAACAAAUGCGAAGGCAAUUCACCCAAGUCUGCAUGUAAAACUCCUCCUGAAGAUCCCCUGAAAGAAUAUCUUGAGGAUAAGAAAGUGUCUGAAAGUUGUAGCAUGAAAAGUGCACCUCUUGAUGUGGAAGCAGGGGUACAUGGCGACGGUAUCAUGAGACGUAUGGUAGCAUUCACAGCUAGAAAACCUUCUCCUGAAGAAGGCAAUUCACCCAAGGCUGCUAGUAAACCUUCUCCUGAAGAUCCUCUGAAAGAAUAUCUUGGGGAUAAGAAAGUGUCUGAAAGUUGUAGCCUGAAAAGGGCAUCUCUUGAUGUGGCAGCAGGGGUACAUGGCGACGGUAUCAUGAGACGUACGGUAUCAUUCACAGCUAGAAAAACAUUUCGGUUACCUGUUGAAGCAAAUCAUAAGUCCGCACUGGUAAAUCUGGAUAGACCGUGUUCUAUGGGCAAGGAGAAGGAGUCCGUUGUCACUAUGAGCGAAUCCUUUGCUCCCAGGAAGAAGUUAAAGAUAAAAGGUCCAGCUCAAAGUAAAUAUCUUGCCAAGGAAAAAUUGAAGCAUGAAGAGGCUUCCCACUUGGAAGAUGAUGAAGUUUUGAAUGCAAUACCUGUUGAAGCAAAUCAUAAGUCCGCGCUGGUUAAUCUGGAUAGACCAUGUUCUAUGGGCAAGGAGAAGGAGUCUGUUGUCACUAUGAGCGAAUCCUUUGCUCCCAGGAAGAAGUUAAAGAUAAAAGGUUCAGCUCAAAGUAAAUAUCUUCCCAUGAAUACCAUUUCUAGCAAGGAAAAAUUGAAGCAUGAAGAGGCUUCCCACUUGGAAGAUGAUGAAGUUUUGAAUGCAAUAGCUGUUCAUGAAGGAAAGCUUGAGAUGUACCUCAAUGAUCCCUCAUGGCGUCACAUGCAACAUGGUGGUCAGACCGCUGAUGCUCGGAGCAAAGUCAGGAUGAUUUGCAGAAGGUUUCAGUUUAUAUGCAGGACUCUCGUUCAAGCUGUGGAACAAGGUUCGCUGAAGAGCCGUAGAGUUGAUCUUGCCGCUGAUAAACUAAUCAGAAAAUUACCAGGCUUUACCAAACAGGGGCCUAUUGUAGGUAAAGUUCCUGGUGUUGAAAUUGGUGAUGAAUUUUUAUACAGAGUAGAGUUGGCCAUUGUUGGUCUUCACCGCCCGUACCAAGGAGGCAUUGACACCACAAAGGAUAUUAAUGGUAUGCUUAUUGCCAUAAGCAUUGUUGCGUCUGGAGGUUACCCUGACGACUUGUCGAGCUCAGGUGAAAUAAUAUACACUGGCUCUGGAGGAAAGCCUGCUGGCAAAAAGGAGAAUGAGGAUCAAAAGCUUGUGCGCGGGAACCUUGCCCUGAAGAAUUGUAUCAAAACAAAGACGCCUGUCCGAGUAAUUCAUGGUUUUAAAGGUCCAAAUAGAGAGGAAGGUAGUCAUUCAAAGGCCAAAGAAGUCUCAAUAUUUACUUAUGAUGGGCUCUAUCAUGUGGUGCAGUGCUGGCAAGAAGGUCUAGCAGGUUCAAGGGUCUUCAAAUACAGGUUGCAAAGGAUUUCUGGACAACCAGAGUUACCUCUGCAUGUUGCUAAAGUGUUGAGAAAGUCUGUAGCGCGUCCUGGCCUGUGCAUAGCAGAUAUAUCGCAAGGGAAGGAGAAGAUCCCCAUAUGUGUGGUCAAUAAUAUUGAUGCUGCACGUCCAGCAUCAUUUAAAUACAUUACUAGAAUAAAAGGCUCAUCCUUAACUGCAAAAAGAAGUCAUCAGGGUUGUGACUGCACCAAUGGCUGCUCAGAUUCUGCUAGCUGUGCUUGUGUUUUGAAGAAUGGAGGAGAAUUCCCAUUUAACUUCAAUGGUGCAGUUGUCCAUGCAAAGCCCCUCAUAUAUGAGUGUGGUCCAUCCUGUAGGUGCCCUCCUUCAUGCCAUAGCAGGGUCAGCCAGCAUGGUAUGAAAAUACCACUGGAAGUAUUCAGAACAACCAAGACAGGUUGGGGCGUAAGAUCCCUAAGGUCCAUCUCUGCUGGCAGCUUUAUAUGUGAGUAUGUUGGCGAGCUGUUGCAUAGCGACGAAGCUAACCAGAGAAUGAAUGACGAAUACUUGUUCGACAUAGGACAUAACUAUGAUAUCUGGAAAGGGAUGCCAUCAGUUGUUCCAGGUCUGAAUUCUUCUGGCCCUCGCUCUGUGACCAUGGACGAUGAUAGGGCCUUCACAAUAGAUGCAGCUGAGUAUGGUAAUAUUGGAAGAUUCAUCAACCAUAGCUGUUCACCAAACCUCUACGCACAGAAUAUUCUUUGGGACCAUGACGACAAAAGAGUGCCGCAUAUCAUGUUCUUUGCUGCUGAGAAUAUUUCACCACUUCAGGAGCUGACUUAUGACUAUAAUUACGAAAUAGAUCAUGUUCGUGACAUGAAUGGCGAAGUAAAAGUCAAAUACUGCCAUUGUGGUUCUCCACAGUGCCGCGACAGGCUUUAUUAA
rnacentral:rRNA from 1 species